GCCAGUAUAGCUCAGUGGCAGAGCACUGAUCUUUGUAACCAGGGUCGUAGGAGUUCAAAUCCUCACUGGUGGCU